rnacentral:rRNA from 1 species
CCUACGGGAGGCAGCAGUGGGGAAUAUUGCACAAUGGGGGAAACCCUGAUGCAGCGACGCCGCGUGAGUGAAGAAGUACUUCGUUAUGUAAAGCUCUAUCAGCAGGGAAGAAAAUGACGGUACCUGAGUAAGAAGCCCCGGCUAACUACGUGCCAGCAGCCGCGGUAAUACGUAGGGGGCAAGCGUUAUCCGGAUUUACUGGGUGUAAAGGGAGCGUAGACGGCGCGCCAAGUCUGGAGUGAAAUGCCGUAGCUUAACUGCGGGACUGCUUUGGAAACUGGCGAACUAGAGUGCGGGAGGGGUAAGCGGAAGUCCUAGUGUAGCGGGGAAAUGCGGAGAUAUUAGGAGGAACACCGGUGGCGAAGGCGGCUUACUGGACCGUAACUGACGUUGAGGCUCGAAGGCGUGGGGAGCAAACAGGAUUAGAUACCCUAGUAGUC